UCUGUGAUCUUCCGUUUUGAUUUCAAAGAAUAAUCAUGAAGAUGUAUCGGCGAAGUGUGGCGUGGGACCAUUUUGAUUUAUAAAGCGAACUAGUUAACUGCAAACAUUGCGAUGCCGUGUUUAAGAACAACACGGCCACGACUCAAAUAAUGUACCUGUGCAUCCUGGCAACGUCAGUUCCCUCAGAGUGGGUGUUUUCGGCGGCUGGACUGACGGUCACCAGGUUGCGGUCGCGUCUGACACCAGAUCAUGUCAACAUGCUUAUACGGUAUUUCUCAACAAAAAUCCGUAGACUCGUGCAGAAGUUGUAUGCUAGUUACUAAAGUUAGUUAUUUUUCAUGAGGCUUUAAGUAGCAUAAUUUGUUACGUUAGUGUAAUUGUUAGGAAGGCUAAUAUCUGGCCUUUUCUUCUGGCUUGGAUAGUUUUGAGUUACAUUUUGACAAAAUCUGUCAGAUCUAAGUAGUAUAAUGUUUUUUUUAUGUUAUUGUUUAACAUGAUUCUUUUAUCAUUAUUAUUAUUUUGGAACAAUUGAGGUCUCUGUUUAAGAACACCUGCUAGCAGCUGCAGGUUCCGCUGCUUUAGAGCACUGCAUAUGCACGCGCAUAUAUGUUUGGUUUGCCUGAACGUAGUUUAACUGUCUGCCACAAGUUGAUCUUGUAAUAAAGGUCUCACCGAGGAAAAACACGCUGUAUGUUUGUAUUCAUUGCAUUUUUUUAUUAUAAAAAUUAAAUAAUUAAUUAUAUUAUAAAAAUAUUAAUGAUUAAUCGAUAGUCGAUCGUUAAUUCUCCCGACGAUCGACUAAGAAAAUUUAAUCGAAUGCCCAUCCCUACUACCUACAGUCAUAUACCCUAAAGAAGAGGGAUUGAGUCGUCGCCGUUGGAGACACUCUCAAGUGUUAGCUGACCAAUUCUGGUCCUCUUUUAUCCGCCAUUACCUUCCGAACUUGCAAGUCAGACAGAAAUGGCAACAUACAUUCCCUAAUAUGACCACAGGCACAAUAGUCAUGAUAAUGGAUCCUCAUCAGCCCAGAGCCCAUUGGCCAAUUGGAAAGGUAGUCCAGGUGCACCCCAGUCAAGAUUCGCAAGUGAGAUAAGUGGAUGUCCAAGUUCAAGGGAAGGUUUAUACUAGACCUGUAGCUCGACUUGUGGCUCUACCCCCCAUUCCUGAAGAUGAUACAGAGGAGACCAAUACCCCAACGCAGCAGCAGUGACACACAUGCAACGUUCUCAAGUGUCAAAUUGAACACAAUUUGGGGGCGGCUGUACAAACGGCUUGCAUGCAUGACCCUUUUAAGACGUGUUGCCCCUUUAAGAUGUGUUGCCCUUUUAAGUCUUAUCGCCAUUUUACCAUUGCGCAGCAGUUGAAGAGAAGAGACAUUUAGCCGAUCCAAUACAAGCAUAAUAUGUGUGCGUGCAUCCUAAAAACCACACCUGUUAUAUGCUAAAUGGGAAAGUAAAGUCCUCAAAGAAAGAA